rnacentral:rRNA from 1 species
UAGGGAAUCUUCGGCAAUGGACGAAAGUCUGACCGAGCAACGCCGCGUGAGUGAAUAAGGUUUUCGGAUCGUAAAACUCUGUUGUUAGAGAAGAACAAGGACGUUAGUAACUGAACGUCCCCUGACGGUAUCUAACCAGAAAGCCACGGCUAACUACUUGCCAGCAGCCGCGGUAAUACGUAGGUGGCAAGCGUUGUCCGGAUUUAUUGGGCGUAAAGCGAGCGCAGGCGGUUUCUUAAGUCUGAUGUGAAAGCCCCCGGCUCAAGCGGGGAGGGUCAUUGGAAACUGGGAGACGUGAGUGCAGAAGAGGAGAGUGGAAUUCCAUGUGUAGCGGUGAAAUGCGUAGAUAUAUGGAGGAAAACCAGUGGCGAAGGCGGCUCACAGGUCUGUAACUGACGCUGAGGCUCGAAAGCGUGGGGAGCAAACAGG